rnacentral:rRNA from 1 species
ACCAACAGGGAUUGCCCUAGUAACGGCGAGUGAAGCGGCAACAGCUCAAAUUUGAAAUCUGGCUCUCGGGCCCGAGUUGUAAUUUGUAGAGGAUACUUUUGAUGCGGUGCCUUCCGAGUUUCCUGGAACGGGACGCCAUAGAGGGUGAGAGCCCCGUCUGGUUGGAUGCCAAAUCUCUGUAAAGUUCCUUCAACGAGUCGAGUAGUUUGGGAAUGCUGCUCUAAAUGGGAGGUAUAUGUCUUCUAAAGCUAAAUACCGGCCAGAGACCGAUAGCGCACAAGUAGAGUGAUCGAAAGAUGAAAAGCACUUUGAAAAGAGAGUUAAAAAGUACGUGAAAUUGUUGAAAGGGAAGCGUUUAUGACCAGACUUGGGCUUGGUUAAUCAUCUGGGGUUCUCCCCAGUGCACUUUUCCAGUCCAGGCCAGCAUCAGUUUUCCCCGGGGGAUAAAGGCGGCGGGAAUGUGGCUCUCUUCGGGGAGUGUUAUAGCCCACCGUGUAAUACCCUGGGGGGGACUGAGGUUCGCGCAUCUGCAAGGAUGCUGGCGUAAUGGUCAUCAACGACCCGUCUUGAAACACGGACCAAGGAGUCGUCUUCGUAUGCGAGUGUUCGGGUGUCAAACCCCUACGCGUAAUGAAAGUGAACGCAGGUGAGAGCUUCGGCGCAUCAUCGACCGAUCCUGAUGUUCUCGGAUGGAUUUGAGUAAGAGCAUACGGGGCCGGACCCGAAAGAAGGUGAACUAUGCCUGUAUAGGGUGAAGCCAGAGGAAACUCUGGUGGAGGCUCGCAGCGGUUCUGACGUGCAAAUCGAUCGUCAAAUAUGGGCAUGGGGGCGAAAGACUAAUCGA